rnacentral:rRNA from 1 species
AUUGAACGCUGGCGGCAGGCCUAACACAUGCAAGUCGAACGGUAACAGGAAGCAGCUUGCUGCUUUGCUGACGAGUGGCGGACGGGUGAGUAAUGUCUGGGAAACUGCCUGAUGGAGGGGGAUAACUACUGGAAACGGCAGCUAAUACCGCAUAACGUCGCAAGACCAAAGAGGGGGACCUUAGGGCCUCUUGCCAUCGGAUGUGCCCAGAUGGGAUUAGCUAGUAGGUGGGGUAACGGCUCACCUAGGCGACGAUCCCUAGCUGGUCUGAGAGGAUGACCAGCCACACUGGAACUGAGACACGGUCCAGACUCCUACGGGAGGCAGCAGUGGGGAAUAUUGCACAAUGGGCGCAAGCCUGAUGCAGCCAUGCCGCGUGUAUGAAGAAGGCCUUCGGGUUGUAAAGUACUUUCAGCGGGGAGGAAGGGAGUAAAGUUAAUACCUUUGCUCAUUGACGUUACCCGCAGAAGAAGCACCGGCUAACUCCGUG